UUUGAUGGCGACCGGCGCAUGGGUGAGUAACACGUAUCCAACCUGCCGAUGACUCGGGGAUAGCCUUUCGAAAGAAAGAUUAAUACCCGAUGGCAUAGUUCUUCCGCAUGGUAGAACUAUUAAAGGAUUUCGGUCAUCGAUGGGGAUGCGUUCCAUUAGGUUGUUGGCGGGGUAACGGCCCACCAAGCCUUCGAUGGAUAGGGGUUCUGAGAGGAAGGUCCCCCACAUUGGAACUGAGACACGGUCCAAACUCCUACGGGAGGCAGCAUG
rnacentral:rRNA from 1 species